ACCGCAGGAGGAUAGGCUAACGCGAUCCUGUCCCUGGGAGAGCGCUUAGCCGAAACCUAAAACAGGGACUACGCCCGUAGAACUUCACGGCUGGCCCUUGUCGGACGGGGGUUCGAUUCCCCCCGCCUCCACCA
rnacentral:tmRNA from 1 species